AUGCGCCUGUUUGAGGCCUUCCAUAAUAACACUUUGGAUGUGGCCCAACUCAAUUAUGGUGUCAUUACCCUUAUACCCAAAAUGAGUGGAGCCAAGAAAAUUCAGCAAUAUAGGCCGAUUUGCCUCCUCCGUUGUCCAUACAAACUUAUAACUAAAGUUUUGAACAAUAGAGUGGCUAUAUUUGCUGACAAGCUUAUCAGUAAGCACCAAAAUGCCUUUAUCAAACACAGAAAUAUAAUGGAUGGCAUCCUUACCUUACAUGAGGUUCUUCAUCACACGCACCACAAAAAGAAACUAGGGGUGGUGCUGAAGCUAGACUUCGAAAAGGCAUACGACAAAAUCAACUAG
rnacentral:rRNA from 1 species